rnacentral:rRNA from 1 species
UUACCGAGAGACGAGGCUUCCAGUGGUCUCACUCUUCCACCGUGCAUAUUGACCUCUGUUGCUUUGGCGGGCUCUCAGCCUGGCCCCUGGAUCCCCGAUCUUGGGUUAUGCCCUCCCGCCCAAGGCCCUCAAAUGAACUCUGGUAUUGACAUCGUCCGAGUUUGUAUCGAAUCUAUAAAACUUUCAACAACGGAUCUCUUGGUUCUGGCAUCGAUGAAGAACGCAGCGAAAUGCGAUAAGUAAUGUGAAUUGCAGAAUUCAGUGAAUCAUCGAAUCUUUGAACGCACAUUGCGCCCUCUGGUAUUCCGGGGGGCAUGCCUGUUCGAGCGUCAUUGCAACCCUCAAGCAUUGCUUGGUACUGGGUCUCGCCCCUGCGGCGGGCCCGAAAUCCGGUGACGGUCCGCGAGGACUCCGGGCGUAGUAAGAUUUUUCAAUCCCGCUUUGGAAGCUCUCGAGUGUGACCGGUCAAACCUUACGUAUUUUCCACGAUUGACCUCGGAUCAGGUAGGGAUACCCGCUGAACUU